AUUGAACGCUGGCGGCAUGCCUUACACAUGCAAGUCGAACGGCAGCAUGAUCUAGCUUGCUAGAUUGAUGGCGAGUGGCGAACGGGUGAGUAAUACAUCGGAACGUGCCCUGUAGUGGGGGAUAACUAGUCGAAAGAUUAGCUAAUACCGCAUACGACCUGAGGGUGAAAGUGGGGGACCGCAAGGCCUCAUGCUAUAGGAGCGGCCGAUGUCUGAUUAGCUAGUUGGUGAGGUAAAGGCUCACCAAGGCGACGAUCAGUAGCUGGUCUGAGAGGACGAUCAGCCACACUGGGACUGAGACACGGCCCAGACUCCUACGGGAGGCAGCAGUGGGGGAUUUUGGACAAUGGGCGAAAGCCUGAUCCAGCAAUGCCGCGUGUGUGAAGAAGGCCUUCGGGUUGUAAAGCACUUUUGUCCGGAAAGAAAUGGCUCUGGUUAAUACCUGGGGUCGAUGACGGUACCGGAAGAAUAAGGACCGGCUAACUACGUG
rnacentral:rRNA from 1 species